UACGAAGGGGGCUAGCGUUGCUCGGAAUUACUGGGCGUAAAGCGUGCGUAGGCGGCUAUGUAAGACAGAUGUGAAAUCCCUGGGCUUAACCUAGGAACUGCAUUUGUGACUGCAUUGCUAGAGUGUGGUAGAGGGAGAUGGAAUUCCGCGUGUAGCAGUGAAAUGCGUAGAUAUGCGGAGGAACACCAAUGGCGAAGGCAAUCUCCUGGACCUGCACUGACGCUCAUGCACGAAAGCGUGGGGAGCAAACAGG
rnacentral:rRNA from 1 species